CCAGCUAGGUGAGCUGGACAAGCUAGGAUGAACUAGCUAGCUAAGCUAGGUGAGCUAAACCAGCUGGAAGACUAGCUAGCUCAGCUAGGUGAGCUGACCGACAGCUCGACUGAGCUCGGUGAACUGAUCGUGUACUGACCCAGCUGGGUGGUUCGGUCAGCUGACACUCGAGCUGGUGGACUGUGGUAGCUCACGGGUGAAGAGGUGUCUCGCCCAAAAGGUGUAAGGUCGAGCGGGUACCAACGAACGGAUGCAUCGCCUAAUAGAUGCAAGGAACGGAUGCAUCGCCUAAUAGAUGCAAGGAACGGAUGUGACCUUUUGGAAGGAUGCAAGGAACGGAUGUGACCUUUCAGAAGGGUGCAAGGAACGGAUGUGAUGCUUCGGGAAGCAUCCAUUCGCCCCCUAUAUAAGGGAGAACGCCCAAGGCCUUUGGAAUAAUCUCACAUCAUCUCACAAUAAUCUCAUAUCAUCCCACAACAUCCAAAACACCAUAAAACAUUCUUAAAGGAGUCUCAACACAUCCUAGAGUUGUUGGUCGGAAAGGGGGUGCGGCUCGGCGAGUAUAACUCGACCGAACUGAUGCGCAUGCUACCUCCCGGUCCAACGGUUCGAUGGAGUGUAGAGGAUGGAGAGGGUAGACCAUUCGUCUUAGAGACGAAUCGGAUCUGGUAGACCGAUCGUUGGAUCGGAUCGGCCAGACCGAUCGUCAAACGGAUCGGAUCGGCCAGACGGAUCGGACAGACCGAUCGUCGGACGGGUCGGAUGGGACAGGCCGAUCGUCUGACGGAACGGGUCGGACAGACCGAUCGUCGGAUGGGAUGGAUCGAGAAAAGUGUUCGAGGAAGCACAAGGAUAAGUGCAUCCGAACACACCCAAGGGUCACCCAUGGAUGCAAUCUUACCGGUAAAGGGAGAAAGCACCAAGAAUGGGUAAGGAACGUGAUUCAC
rnacentral:sRNA from 1 species